CCUACGGGUGGCAGCAGUGAGGAAUAUUGGUCAAUGGACGAGAGUCUGAACCAGCCAAGUAGCGUGAAGGAUGACUGCCCUAUGGGUUGUAAACUUCUUUUAUAUGGGAAUAAAACGUUCCACGUGUGGGAUUUUGUAUGUACCAUAUGAAUAAGGAUCGGCUAACUCCGUGCCAGCAGCCGCGAUAAUACGGAGGAUCCGAGCGUUAUCCGGAUUUAUUGGGUUUAAAGGGAGCGUAGGUGGAUUGUUAAGUCAGUUGUGAAAGUUUGCGGCUCAACCGUAAAAUUGCAGUUGAAACUGGCAGUCUUGAGUACAGUAGAGGUGGGCGGAAUUCGUGGUGUAGCGGUGAAAUGCUUAGAUAUCACGAAGAACUCCGAUUGCGAAGGCAGUUCACUGGACUGCAACUGACACUGAGGCUCGAAAGUGUGGGUAUCAAACAGGAUUAGAUACCCUUGUAGUC
rnacentral:rRNA from 1 species